UUAUUAUGUCUAACCGAAUCAUUUGUUCGAGGAUUAAAUUUUGAGUCGUAUGAUUUUCUUCUAGUCUAUGUAUUUGGUUGAAUUUCUCUGCGAUCCUUUUGCGGUUUUAUUGCGUCUUUUAGGAGAUUAAAGGUUUUGUUGGAUUUGUCGUUAAUUUUUACUUGUCGGUUUGUUUGUUCGAUUAUAUUGUGAUUGUUCGUGUCGAUGAUAUUUAAGUGGUUUUGAAUGCCCUGUCGAUCGUCGUUUUCCAUUGUACCAAAUAUCCAGUUUAGGGCGGUUCCACCCAGGUCGAUAAGCCCUCGUUUAGAUUUGCGUGGAAUGAGAGUUUUGGCGGAAUUCUUGAUACUUUCAAUUUGGAGGAGUGCCAAGUCCUUAUUUGAAUCGGUUUUUAUUGACUUUAUAGUCGCUUCUAGUCAGCUGACAAUUCCUAAAAUUUCGGUGGGGUGGAUGAUGUUAGUAAUUUUCUCAACUAUCAAUGCCUGUAGCGUGGGUGGAAACAGUAAUAGGAGGAUCCCUGUCACGAUCAGUACCUGAAAGUUGAGAUUCAUCAUUGGAUGAGGUCAAUUUCCCUUGCAAUAUAUCUAAAAUGAUUCUUUUGUAGUAGUGUAGAAGUAAGGCUGUGAUUUGAGAACCUCUCGACUCGACUAUCAGGGCCGAUUCAAGUGGUGAACCCGGUCCAAACCAUCCGCCCCCGCUACCGAACGGAACAAAGGAUCAAAAUGGAGAAGGUGUGAUUUGACAUGACAUCCGCUUUUGUCGCUCAGAGUGAUGAACCUUUGCUAAAUGGGCUGAAUCUGGAGAAACAAACAAGAGAGCCGAGCUUAAGAUAAUUACUAAUCAACUCAAGGUUUCCAGUCUAUAUUCUUCAGUGCGACCUUCCGUUGCUCUAACCAUUAGGCCAUCAGAACAGCAAA